GUCCACGCCGUAAACGAUGGGCACUGGGUAGCGGCCGGAUCCGACCGGUCGCUGCUGACGGAAAUCCAUUAAGUGCCCCGCCUGGGGAGUAUGGUCGCAAGGCUGAAACUCAAAGGAAUUGACGGGGGCUCACACAAGCGGUGGAGGAUGUUGCUCAAUUCGAAGCAACGCGAAGAACCUUACCAGGGUUUGACAUGCUGGGAUUAACUCGGUGAAAGCCGAGGGAUUGCCUUCGGGUGUAACCAGCACAGGUGUUGCAUGGCUGUCGU
rnacentral:rRNA from 1 species